UGUCGGCUCAUCACAUCCUGGGGCUGUAGUAGGUCCCAAGGGUUGGGCUGUUCGCCCAUUAAAGUGGUACGCGAGCUGGGUUCAGAACGUCGUGAGACAGUUCGGUCCCUAUCCGUCGCAGGCGUAGGAAAUUUGAGAAGACCUGUCCUUAGUACGAGAGGACCGGGAUGGACGUACCUCUGGUGUACCAGUUGUCCUGCCAAGGGCAUGGCUGGGUAGCUAUGUACGGAAUGGAUAAGCGCUGAAAGCAUCUAAGCGCGAAGCCAACUUCAAGAUAAGAUUUCCCACCGCAAGGGUAAGACCCCAGAAAGACUAUCUGGUUGAUAGGUCGAAGGUGUAAGUGCAGCAAUGUAUUUAGCUUAUCGAUACUAAUAGGUCGAGGACUUGACCAAU
rnacentral:rRNA from 1 species